rnacentral:rRNA from 1 species
AAUCGCGGAUCAGCAUGCCGCGGUGAAUACGUUCCCGGGCCUUGUACACACCGCCCGUCACACCAUGAGAGUUUGUAACACCCAAAGCCGGUGGGGUAACCUUUUGGAGCCAGCCGUCUAAGGUGGGACAGAUGAUUGGGGUGAAGUCGUAACAAGGUACC